rnacentral:rRNA from 1 species
AUGAACGCUAGCGACAGGCUUAACACAUGCAAGUCGAGGGGCAGCAUAAAGUAGCAAUACUUGGUGGCGACCGGCGCACGGGUGAGUAACACGUAUGCAACCUGCCUGUAAGCGGGGAAUAACCCGUUGAAAGACGGACUAAUACCGCAUAAUACUAAAUUACUGCAUGGUAAUUUAUUUAAACAUUUAUGGCUUACAGAUGGGCAUGCGCAUGAUUAGCUAGUUGGAGAGGUAACGGCUCCCCAAGGCAACGAUCAUUAGGGGUUCUGAGAGGAAGGUCCCCCACACUGGUACUGAGACACGGACCAGACUCCUACGGGAGGCAGCAGUGAGGAAUAUUGGUCAAUGGACGAGAGUCUGAACCAGCCAAGUCGCGUGCAGGAAGAAUGUCCCUAUGGAUUGUAAACUGCUUUUGCAGGGGAAUAAAGUGCAUCACGUGUGAUGUUUUGUAUGUACUCUGCGAAUAAGGAUCGGCUAACUCCGUGCCAGCCGCUGC